UACGGAGUGUGCAAACGUUACUCGGAAUCACUGGGCAUAAAGCGCGCGUAGGCGGGUUUUCAAGUCGGUUGUGAAAUCCCUCAGCUCAACUGAGGAACUGCAUCCGAUACUGUCUGUCUUGAGGACGAGAGGGGAAAGUGGAACUUCUGGUGGAGCGGUGAAAUGCGUAGAUAUCAGAAGGAACGCCGGUGGCGAAAGCGACUUUCUGGCUCGUAUCUGACGCUGAGGCGCGAAAGCUUGGGUAGCAAACGGG
rnacentral:rRNA from 1 species